UCUUAUAUAUUAUAAUAAUUAAUAACAUAUUAUAUUUUUUUAUGUGUAUGAUGUGAUUCAAUUUUUAAUACAAGCUGGAAAAUCCUAGAAUUGACGGGUUUAAAUCGAUACUAAUACAAGAUGGUAUACUACAAGUGAAACUCUAAAAAAUUAACAAUCAAAAUACAAGUGUAUAAUUUUAAACACUAAACAAUAUAAAUAAUAGCAACAAAACAUAUACAACUCGCAGUUUACUAUACAUUUAAAAUUAAAUAAAAUAAUAUCAUAUAUUUAUAAUCAUCUUUACAAUAAAAGUUUUUAGUUUAACUAAAAUAUAACCUUACCUGCGGUAUACUGCAAGUUAAAAUUAUAAAUAAGCAGAUUACCAUCACGAUGUCUGUACCUUCUCACAUACACACCUAUCAAAAACUUAAAACCUUUCAAAACCUCUUGGUAUAUUCAAAUUAGGAUUCUUCAUUCAUGGAAUCAUUAUUCCAAGGGUUUUGGGAUGUCUUAUGAAAUAAUUUUGGCAGAAGAGGAUGUAAAUUUUUUUGAAUAAAAAGUAGUCAGCAAAACAUACGUUUUUUUGGGGAGUUUUUAGAUAAUUAAAUCAGAGAAUAAGGUUGGGCAUAUGAGUAACCCAUUCGAGUUCGGGUAGAACCCGUUCGGAUUUGGGAUUAAUGGGUAUAUGAUUUACUACCUAAUAGAAUAAUUUUAAAUAUUCGGUUCUGGUUCGGGUCGGAUCCAGUUGGGUUUGGGUCAGUUUGCACAAAAUGUUUCAGACCCUAAAAAUACCAAAAAAAAAUAGAAACGAGAAAUUUGUAUGUAGAUAGCGGGUCUCCAAAAAAAAA
rnacentral:sRNA from 1 species